rnacentral:lncRNA from 1 species
AGCUACUAUUUUUAGUGAUUGCUUUCAGUUGUGUCGUUCUUUAGAUUUGGUGUCUGUUGUUUUUGUUCGCCGUUCAGGCAAUGUUGUCGCAGACUUUUUGGCCAGGAAUGCCGCCUCAUACGCCGGUUUGGUGUGGAUUGAGGAGGUACCACCUGAAGUCGAUGUUUUUGUAACCGCAGACCUUUUGGCUUCUAUGCCCCCUAUUUAAUUGAUAGCAGGUUCUUU